rnacentral:rRNA from 1 species
UCAGCUUGUUGGUGAGGUAAUGGCUCACCAAGGCGUCGACGGGUAGCCGGCCUGAGAGGGUGACCGGCCACACUGGGACUGAGACACGGCCCAGACUCCUACGGGAGGCAGCAGUGGGGAAUAUUGCACAAUGGGCGCAAGCCUGAUGCAGCAACGCCGCGUGAGGGACGACGGCCUUCGGGUUGUAAACCUCUUUUAGCAGGGAAGAAGCGAAAGUGACGGUACCUGCAGAAAAAGCGCCGGCUAACUACGUGCCAGCAGCCGCGGUAAUACGUAGGGCGCAAGCGUUAUCCGGAAUUAUUGGGCGUAAAGAGCUCGUAGGCGGUUUGUCGCGUCUGCUGUGAAAUCCGGAGGCUCAACCUCCGGCCUGCAGUGGGUACGGGCAGACUAGAGUGCGGUAGGGGAGAUUGGAAUUCCUGGUGUAGCGGUGGAAUGCGCAGAUAUCAGGAGGAACACCGAUGGCGAAGGCAGAUCUCUGGGCCGUAACUGACGCUGAGGAGCGAAAGGGUGGGGAGCAAACAGGCUUAGAUACCCUGGUAGUCCACCCCGUAAACGUUGGGAACUAGUUGUGGGGUCCAUUCCACGGAUUCCG